UACGUAGGGUGCAAGCGUUGUCCGGAAUUAUUGGGCGUAAAGAGCUCGUAGGCGGUCUGUCGCGUCGGCUGUGAAAUCCCCGGGCUCAACCUGGGAAUGGCAUUUGGGGACUGCAAGGCUGGAGUGCGGCAGAGGAGACUGGAAUUCCUGGUGUAGCAGUGAAAUGCGUAGAUAUCAGGAGGAACACCGGUGGCGAAGGCGGCCGGCUGGGGGGUGACCUGACGCUGAGGCGCGAAAGCGUGGGGAGCGAACCGG
rnacentral:rRNA from 1 species